rnacentral:misc_RNA from 1 species
UUUUAAAAUACAACCAUUAUAUAUACAGUAAUUGUAUUAUGACCAUUGAUUAUAGUGGGUCCCAUCAUACUAAAUGAUCAUAGUGUAUCCAUUGUACCUACAACGAUUAUACCGAAUAGAUUUUCGUAAGGGUUUUUAUUGUAAAAUAAUGAGUUUGUUUGGUAAGAAGGUUUUUAAAAAAAGUUAAGAUUUUUAAGAUUUCGAUAUCUCCAUAAACCCAAAUUAGUUAGUUGGGAUGUUUUAAAACGUUACCUUUAAUUACCUUACUUUACUUGAAA